CCUGCUUUAUAAAAUCAGGCCCAACUCUGGAUCCAGUUUAUACUGUUGAAGGAAGCGAUGGUUUUGUCUUUUCUGUCAGACCACUGCCCCCUUCAUGCAACAUUAUGAGAAACACCUUAUGGACUUUUUGAGCAAUAAGGAAAAUAAGCUUGUGAUAUCUGGGUUCAAAGACUGGAAGAACGGCUGGUUUAUGGACAUUAGAAGAGCUGGGUGUUAUUAUGAGGCUAAACAAACCCAGUUCCCUCAACCGUUGAUCGUGAUGCUUGGUUACCAGACCCCAAGAACUGGACACAGGACUCUAACCAAGGCAGGAUAGAGUGAGGCCAGGACAUCACUUGAUCUGGACACUAGACUUUAGUUGACAGGACACGUGAUUCCUCAUAUCUGUGCAGACCCCAUCAAAUUUACAUUCAUUGCUACACCCAUUUUUUUCGUCUGGCCCGCCGCCCACCAGCAACAUGUGCUUUGACCAGAACAACAUGCCUCGAUCCAACACCUGGAUGUCAAGAGUCAGCUGCUUGUGGGACCCCCUUUCCAUGUUACCUCAAGAGACCCCUGUCCUUUCACCCUGAUUGGACACAUGGUUCCUGUUCUGUAUUUGUAUGAAAUUGGUCAUUUAGUGUGGCAGCACCUACACUUUGGAAUUCCCUGCCUCUUGACAUUAGGAAGGUGCCUUCACUGUACUCUUUUUGGUACCUGCUUAAAAGCAAUUCUGAUUAGACAAUCCUGUCCAGACAUGUAGAAUGUUGGUGUAUAUCUUAAUCUGUUUUUAGUUUAUUGCUGAUUUUAUCUUUUGCAU